AAGAGAAGAGGAAGGAAGAAACUUCACCAUCAUGGCUGCCAUCCCCACUGUCUCCUGGGUCCCCAGACCUCCUUUAUUCUAAUUCUGAGAAAUGUCUGAUCAGGACAUCAGUUCCAAAGAGGGGGAACCAGAUGACAUUGCCACUGCCACUUGCUGAAUCCCAAACACCACCUGAGAUAUGACUUUGUUGUCUCCCCUCCUUGGGUGUUCUUUUCCUUCACCACUUUAUUUCUUCUCUUUCCUAGCCCUCCUUUUUCCUUCUAUGUAAUACAGAAUCUUGGCUGGCUAAGCAGAUGCUUAUUUUUCAACACUGCUAUAAGCCUGUGACCAGAAAAAGGCAGCUAAAAGCAAUACCCCGGACAGCCUGAUGCUGGUACAAGUAUGUCAGGUCUCUGAGCAGCUGAAAACACUGUGCCACACUUGUGGUUUUUUUCCAGCAGUGAGAUUUACAACUAGGAUGAUACUGAUUGACGUUACUAAAAUCGAGACACCCUGAGAGAGUGCAUUUAAAAUUUUGGGGAGAAGUGGACAAAACAGAGCACAUAAUACACAACAUAGCACGACAAAAGAAAAGUAUACAAGGACUUGAAAAAUUUACCAGACCUCUAAUAGCCGGAAGACUUAACAAAGCUGAGAGGUCCCUCUGUCUAGGGACAAUGCCUAUAGGAGAAGGCAAAGUCUGACUACCCCCACACCAAAGCUGCUGGGAUUCCUACUAAGGUACUCUUCUUGGGAACUCAUCGAUUGUUGUUUCUAGUAAAUUCAAAAGCCCUUACACCCUGGAAAGGAGGAGCAUUCUUUUUCUCUGAAACUCCUGGCUUCUACUCUGCUGCCAUUCUCUCUGCUUCUGCUUUUUGGGCCUCCUCCCCAGCAAACAUCAUUUGUAUUAUGAAGAUGCCCAAAACCUCCAAUGUGCUAGUUGUUGUACAAACACUUAAGACAUGAACUAUGCCCCCAAGAUCUUAAGAACAUAAUGGUCAGACGGGGUCAGACCAGUAGUCCAUCUAGCCCAGUAUCCUGUUCACUUCAGAGGGAAUCAACAGAACAGGGCAAUUUAUCGAGUGAUCAAUCCACUGUUGUUCAGUCCCAUCUUCUGGCAGUCAGAGGGCUAGGGACACCUAGAGCAUGGGGUUGCAUCCCUGGCCAUCUUGGCUAAUACCCACUGAUGGACCUAUCCUCCAUGAACUUAUCUAAUUCUUUUUUAAACCCAGUUAUAGUUUUGGCUUUCACAACAUCCCCUAGCAACGAGCUCCAUGGGUUGAUUGUGCAUUGUGUGAAGAAGUACUCCCUUAUGUUUAUUUUUAACCUGCUGCCUAUUAAUUCAUUGGGUGAAACCUGGUUCUUGUGUUGUAUGAAGGGUAAAUAACACUUCCUUAUGCGCUUUCUCCAUAUCAUUCAUGAUUUUGUAGACUUCUAUCAUAGCCCCGUUAGUUCUCUUUUCUAAGCUGAAAACUCCCAGUCCUUUUAAUCUCUUCUCAAAUGGAAGC